CGGCGUUAUCAAACUUUUAGAGAUUGCUGUUUUCCAUGAGUUCAAACCAUUGGUUCAAACAUACCAUGAUACUUUCACAGCAGUUAGGCAGUAAAAUAAGCUGCUGCGUCGUGCUGGUCUUAGUCAGUGAUAAAUGGGUUGGACAUACUCAGGAGGGAAAAAGCCCACGCGGCCACGACAGCGACCUUUCCAGCGCUGGGAAUCAGAGCAGUCCAGCAGGUCUAUGACAUCACCCCGCAGGAAGUGCAGCUGGGAGUUGUGCUCUGGAUUGAAGUCAAACAGGGCAUGUGCGUGAUGAGGCCUCUGAUGGGAAACAAUAACAGACAAAGGUCAGCAGAGCCACUCCUGCCUUUACAUUCUACACAUUUACUCCACAUUUUGGACAUCUUCGCACUUCAUAUGUCUCACAAAUAUGAAACCCCUAAGAUGUUUUAACAGUUUUUAAAAACAGCUGCUUUUUCCUGAUAUGCAAGUUUUCUGUGUAAGCAAGUAUUUUAAAGGGGGGAUUGGGGUCAUGGCCCUUUAAAGUACUGUAAAUAUAUCAGAAAUGUUGCUGUCAAUGUUUUCAAACCAUAAUCAAUUUUGAAGUCCCACCAGUGUCAUAACGAAGCCUUUUUCUCAUACAUGCAAUAAUGUUAAAUAAAAUAAAAUCAGUCAUUUUUGUUUUAUAGUG
rnacentral:lncRNA from 1 species